GCCUUCGUGGUGUAGGGGUCAGCACACUGGGCGUGGAUUCCAGAGGUUCGUGGUUCGACUCUCGGCGAGGGCA
rnacentral:tRNA from 1 species